CGGGGCUCUGAGCAAGCUGGAUUUUGACUCCAAUUACACCGUGGUGGUUUCUGCCUCCAAUCCAUUAGGAAAUGCCUCUUCCCAGCCACUCACCUUCAUGCUGAUAGACAUAGUGAAGCCACACCCUCCCAACUUCUGGGUGGAAUUUGAUGAUUCCUCUGCCACCAACUGCACCAUUUUGUGGCACGACGAGGCACCAGCGCAGCACUACAGGCUGAGGUAUCGUCCCCUCGGCAGGCACGGCUGGAGCAUGGUUGAGAGCUUCAGCAGGGAGAAAUUCCAUCUCCAGGGGCUGGAGCCUGACACAGCCUACGAGUUCCAGCUGAGCUGCAGGAUCCUGCCC
rnacentral:lncRNA from 1 species